GCAGUGAGCGCAGAUCACGCCACUGCACUCCAGACUGGGUGACAGAGCAACACUCUGUCUCAAAACAAAACAAAACAAAACAAAACAAAACAAAACAAAAACAGUAGAUUAGUGAUUGCUAGGAAUGCGUCAGUCUCUGUACAGAUGAAGAACCUGAGGCUCAGAGAAGCCAAUUACCACCGUGCCCACCCAUCUGUGUGACUUUGGACCAGUGACUUCACUUCUCUGAGCUGUGACGUGGAGAGAAUGACGUGUGCCUGAGAGGGUGGCUGUGCAGCUCGGUGAAUGUGCCUGUCGUGCCUGGUGGGUCCUCCUGCAUCUUCAUCUUCGUUAGUUGCUUUCCCUUCUCUCAGACCUUUGGCUGGAAGCUGGUGGAGCUGAAAGGUGAAGGCUGCCACCUAGAGGUGAACUCCGGCACCUGCCAAAGCAUGUGAGUCGUCUUCUCAUCGACAAGAGAAGGGAUUUCAUCAUGUUGCCCAGACUAGUCUUGAACUCCUGGAAUCAAGUGAUCUGCCUCGACCUCCAAGGCACUGGGAUUACACAGGUUUCAGACUCAUAACAAAUGACUCAGACAGCGAAGGAAGAACAUCUGCUUUCCUGGGUGGAUCCAGGGUAGGGGUCCCCAGGAAGCCUACCGCCUCCCUACCCUGGCCACCCUAAGCCCAGGCUCCCUUUGACAAGACUGGCCCAGUGAGAGUUUCUGCCUGCAGCAUCGGGCACAAAGUAGAAGCAGGGUGGCAGUGAGGAGAGGAGGCGUCCCCCAAUGGAAGGACAGCUCCACAGCUGAGAAAGUGGAGGUUGUGGGGGGUGGCGAGGGGGUGCCGGGGGCACCUAUGAUCAUCCCCCAGGCACGGCAGGAGGUGAAUAUAUGAGUUCAAGGGACUUCAGGUAACUCCUCCCUCCUUAUCUGGUUUGUUAAAGACAACCCGCAAGUCCUGGUCUCAAGGUGUCUCACUACCCUGAUCCCGACUGCCCACCGACCCUACCCAAAGACGGACGCACUAACCUUGGCCUCUGACACUGCCUACAGACGGACCCCCACAACCUGACUACCCACAUUUAUCUCUAAAGCCUGCCCCAGGCUGGCGAAACCCCAAAUCCUGCCACGC